AUGAUGAAGGAACUAAUUGCAAGUAGGUUGAGGCAAAAUAAUAGUGAAGGAAGUGCAAGUAGUAAAUCUAAGCUUGAAAAAUACCUUGCCAGAGACUCUAAAGACCCUGACAAAAAAAUUGACAUCCUAGGAUGGUGGAAAGAGAAUUCAUCUAGGUUUCCAAUCUUGGCGAAUAUGGCUCAUGAUAUUCUUGCUAUCCCCAUUAAAACUGUGGCUUCUGAGUCAGCCUUUAGCACAAGUGGACGCAUACUUGAUGACUUUAGGACAUCUCUAACUCCGUCUAUGGUGCAAGCUUUAGUUUGUACGCAAGACUGGCUGAGAAGGUCAACAGAUCCGGUCGACAUCAAGGAGAACUUGGAAGAAUUAGAAGUGCUAGAAAAAGUUGAUUGA
rnacentral:rRNA from 1 species